GAUGAACGCUAGCGGCAGGCUUAACACAUGCAAGUCGAGGGGUAUUGGUUUUCGGACCAAGAGACCGGCGCACGGGUGCGUAACGCGUAUGCAAUCUACCUUUUGCAGAGGGAUAGCCCCAGAGAAAUUUGGAUUAAUACCUCAUAGUAUAGUACUUUGGCAUCAAGGAACUAUUAAAGUCACAACGGCAAAAGAUGAGCAUGCGUCCCAUUAGCUAGUUGGUAAGGUAACGGCUUACCAAGGCUACGAUGGGUAGGGGUUCUGAGAGGGAGAUCCCCCACACUGGUACUGAGACACGGACCAGACUCCUACGGGAGGCAGCAGUGAGGAAUAUUGGACAAUGGGCGCAAGCCUGAUCCAGCCAUGCCGCGUGCAGGAUGACGGUCCUAUGGAUUGUAAACUGCUUUUAUACAGGAAGAAACACUCCGACGGUGUCGGAGCUUGACGGUACUGUAAGAAUAAGGAUCGGCUAACUCCGUGCCAGCAGCCGAC
rnacentral:rRNA from 1 species